GCUCUGGGCCUGACAUCACACAGCGCGUCAGGUCACAGCGUGAGUACGUCAGUGCAGCACGGGACCAUGGACGUGCUGUGGAGUGUCCGGAGGCCCCCUGCUGGAAAGGUGAGGGUUCCGAGCGCAGCGGGAGACCAGGGAGUGGGAGUAAUAGCAAGUGCUUCACUCCUGCUCCGUGGUCACGUGACACAAACGAAUCCUCGAUACAAAAAAUUUGCAUUAAGGAUUUUUUGUGUCAAAUUAUUUUAAUCUAAUCGAGUACUCGUAUUUCAGCCC